AAAGAAAGUAAUCAUGUCCGAAAAUUUAAUUGAGUAUUUAUUCUAGCUGGCCUAAGUUAUGGCAAUUUAUUUAUAUUUGUUGAAAACCUCAUUCAUCACAUAUGUAUCCAUAGUAAUUUCUACAAUUUCCGCUGUACAGCGGUCGUUGACUCGUAGACUCGUUGACUCGUAGACUCGUUGACUCGUAGACUCGUAGACUCGUAGACUCGUAGACUCGUAGUAUCACAGGAUGUCUUAGUUAUGGCCAUGGAAGCUGAAUCCUUGCUGACCAACUCAUCACAAGGAAACCAAUAUUUCCAGAAAAGAUCUAAAUUCGCCGUAAAAAGGAUACUUCAAGAACUUCUUGUGCAGUGAAAAAUUAAUAAGUGAAAAAUUUGAAUAAAGUGUACGGAGGCCUCCUCACUUCAAUACACCAGGUAUUUACGAAACAACCAAUAUUAAUUUAUGGAAAAUUCACAGGCAACUACUUCGCAAAAA